rnacentral:rRNA from 1 species
AAAUUGAAGAGUUUGAUCAUGGCUCAGAUUGAACGCUGGCGGCAGGCCUAACACAUGCAAGUCGAACGGUAACAGGAAGCAGCUUGCUGCUUUGCUGACGAGUGGCGGACGGGUGAGUAAUGUCUGGGAAACUGCCUGAUGGAGGGGGAUAACUACUGGAAACGGUAGCUAAUACCGCAUAACGUCGCAAGACCAAAGAGGGGGACCUUCGGGCCUCUUGCCAUCGGAUGUGCCCAGAUGGGAUUAGCUAGUAGGUGGGGUAAAGGCUCACCUAGGCGACGAUCCCUAGCUGGUCUGAGAGGAUGACCAGCCACACUGGAACUGAGACACGGUCCAGACUCCUACGGGAGGCAGCAGUGGGGAAUAUUGCACAAUGGGCGCAAGCCUGAUGCAGCCAUGCCGCGUGUAUGAAGAAGGCCUUCGGGUUGUAAAGUACUUUCAGCGGGGAGGAAGGGAGUAAAGUUAAUACCUUUGCUCAUUGACGUUACCCGCAGAAGAAGCACCGGCUAACUCCGUGCCAGCAGCCGCGGUAAUACGGAGGGUGCAAGCGUUAAUCGGAAUUACUGGGCGUAAAGCGCACGCAGGCGGUUUGUUAAGUCAGAUGUGAAAUCCCCGGGCUCAACCUGGGAACUGCAUCUGAUACUGGCAAGCUUGAGUCUCGUAGAGGGGGGUAGAAUUCCAGGUGUAGCGGUGAAAUGCGUAGAGAUCUGGAGGAAUACCGGUGGCGAAGGCGGCCCCCUGGACGAAGACUGACGCUCAGGUGCGAAAGCGUGGGGAGCAAACAGGAUUAGAUACCUGGUAGUCCACGCCGUAAACGAUGUCGACUUGGAGGUUGUGCCCUUGAGGCGUGGCUUCCGGAGCUAACGCGUUAAGUCGACCGCCUGGGGAGUACGGCCGCAAGGUUAAAACUCAAAUGAAUUGACGGGGGCCCGCACAAGCGGUGGAGCAUGUGGUUUAAUUCGAUGCAACGCGAAGAACCUUACCUGGUCUUGACAUCCACGGAAGUUUUCAGAGAUGAGAAUGUGCCUUCGGGAACCGUGAGACAGGUGCUGCAUGGCUGUCGUCAGCUCGUGUUGUGAAAUGUUGGGUUAAGUCCCGCAACGAGCGCAACCCUUAUCCUUUGUUGCCAGCGGUCCGGCCGGGAACUCAAAGGAGACUGCCAGUGAUAAACUGGAGGAAGGUGGGGAUGACGUCAAGUCAUCAUGGCCCUUACGACCAGGGCUACACACGUGCUACAAUGGCGCAUACAAAGAGAAGCGACCUCGCGAGAGCAAGCGGACCUCAUAAAGUGCGUCGUAGUCCGGAUUGGAGUCUGCAACUCGACUCCAUGAAGUCGGAAUCGCUAGUAAUCGUGGAUCAGAAUGCCACGGUGAAUACGUUCCCGGGCCUUGUACACACCGCCCGUCACACCAUGGGAGUGGGUUGCAAAAGAAGUAGGUAGCUUAACCUUCGGGAGGGCGCUUACCACUUUGUGAUUCAUGACUGGGGUGAAGUCGUAACAAGGUAACCGUAGGGGAACCUGCGGUUGGAUCACCUCCUUACCUUAAAGAAGC